GUGUGUGCGGUGAUGAGUAUAUUUUGUGGACUAGAGUUUCUGAUCUGGGUUUGGAUCCCAGAAUCUGACGACUAACCCUUGGCUGUCUGAGCACACUU